AGCUCCAAUAGCGUAUGCUAAAGCUGCUGCGGUUAAAAAGCUCGUAGUUGGAUCUCAGUUGCGGGCGGGUGGUGCAUCUACCCGAUGUGACAGCCCGAUCUGAACAUCUUGCCUUCUAUCCUCUGGUGUCCUUCACUGGAUGCCUCUGGGUGGUCGGUGCAUUUACUUUGAAAAAAUUGGAGUGCUCAACGCAGGCGAAGUGCCUGAACACUUAUGCAUGGAAUAAUAGAACAAGACCCCGUUUCUGUUCUGUUGGUUUUUGGAAAACGAGGUAAUGAUCAAGAGGGACGGACGGGGGCAUUCGUAUUGCGGCGCUAGAGGUGAAAUUCUUGGACCGUCGCAAGACGAACUACAGCGAAAGCAUUUGCCAAGAAUGUUUUCA
rnacentral:rRNA from 1 species